UACGGAGGGUGCGAGCGUUGUCCGGAAUCAUUGGGCGUAAAGGGCGCGUAGGUGGCCCGGUCAGUUCGUGGUGAAAGCGCGGGGCUCAACCCUGCGUCGGCCAUGAAUACUGCCGCGGCUGGAGCACUGUAGAGGCAGGCGGAAUUCCGGGUGUAGCGGUGGAAUGCGUAGAGAUCCGGAAGAACACCGGUGGCGAAGGCGGCCUGCUGGGCCAGUUGCUGACACUGAGGCGCGACGACGGGUGGGAGCAAACAGGG
rnacentral:rRNA from 1 species